rnacentral:piRNA from 1 species
UGGAGACUGGCAAUGACAAGGCUGCCACCUGU